GAUAAGCAACCAACAUAAUUUAUGGAGAAAAUAUGGAUUAAUUUCUAGUAAAUAUAACUGCUUUAAAUUAAAACAAGAAUUCAGAAAUAGUUUAAAACUGGAAAAGAAAUGAUCUAUAACAAAUAAUAUCUGUAGAUCUGGCAUGAACAAUCGUAAAUUAUGGUAGUGUUAAAUGCCAUUUCGUAUCGAAGUAAGCGCAUUUCUUUUGACUGUUCCGCUUCGUUGUUUUCACGCAUCUGUGAUCAUUUUUAUGCCAAAUUGGCUACCAAAAAUACGUUCGUUUCAAUUGCGAGUCUUAAUUAAUGAAAAAAUCGAGUUUUUGGACAAGGAUAUCUUAUUGGCAUUAAAUAUUAAAAAUAAACUGUCUAAAGGUCCCUUUUAUGUUCUAUCAAAGAACUCUGCCUUCUGUUGCCCAUCGUAUCGCUUUUUUAUUUAAACGUACUUUAGAGGCUGGGUACAUUUCUAUGAGAUGGAGUAGAACUAAAAUCAUCCUGAUUCUAAAAAAGCACAAGAUUUCCAUCUGACCCUUCUUCGUAUAGACCCAUCACUAUUACCGACUGUUUCUUACGUGUAUUUGAAAAAGUUCUUUUGAAAUGUAUUUAUCACUCUGUAAAAUUGCCAUUUCUUCCGAUCAGCA
rnacentral:lncRNA from 1 species